GCUAGUAUGGCAUAGUGGUUUGAGUGUUGGACUAUAACUCUGGAGACCAGGGUUUGAAUCCCCACUCAGCC